rnacentral:rRNA from 1 species
UACAGAGGGUGCGAGCGUUAAUCGGAAUUACUGGGCGUAAAGCGUGCGUAGACGGCUAUCUAAGUCGGGUGUGAAAGCCCCGGGCUUAACCCGGGAAGUGCAUUUGAAACUGCAGAGCUUGAGUAUGGAAGAGGGUCGUGGAAUUCCAGGUGUAGUGGUGAAAUACGUAGAUAUCUGGAGGAACACCGGUGGCGAAGGCGGCGACCUGGUCCAUAACUGACGCUGAGGCGCGAAAGCUAGGGGAGCAAACAGG